rnacentral:rRNA from 1 species
AUUGAACGCUGGCGGCAGGCCUAACACAUGCAAGUCGAGCGGAGCGGCGGACGGGUGAGUAAUGCCUAGUAAUCUGCCUGGUAGUGGGGGAUACCGUCCGGAAGCGGGCGCUAAUAACGCAUACUAUCAGAUGUGCCCAGAUGGUAUUAGCUAGUAGGUGGGGUAAUGGCUCACCUAGGCGACGAUCCCUAGCUGGUCUGAGAGGAUGACCAGCCACACUGGAACUGAGACACGGUCCAGACUCCUACGGGAGGCAGCAGUGGGGAAUAUUGCGCAAUGGACGCAAGCCUGAUGCAGCAAUGCCGCGUGUAUGAAGAAGGCCUUCGGAUUGUAAAGGACUUUCAGCGGGGAGGCGUUACCCACAGAAGAAGCACCGGCUAACUCCGUGCCAGCAGCCGCGGUAAUAC